rnacentral:rRNA from 1 species
GACGGGGGGGGCAAGUGUUCUUCGGAAUGACUGGGCGUAAAGGGCACGUAGGCGGUGAAUCGGGUUGAAAGUGAAAGUCGCCAAAAAGUGGCGGAAUGCUCUCGAAGCCAAUUCACUUGAGUGAGACAGAGGAGAGUGGAAUUUCGUGUGUAGGGGUGAAAUCCGUAAAUAUACGAAGGAACGCCAAAAGCGAAGGCAGCUCUCUGGGUCCCUACCGACGCUGGGGUGCGAAAGCGUGGGGAGCAAACAGG